rnacentral:rRNA from 1 species
UACGUAGGGGGCGAGCGUUGUCCGGAUUUAUUGGGCGUAGAGAGCUCGUAGGCGGCUUGUCGCGUCGACUGUGAAAACCCGUGGCUCAACCAUGUGGUCUGCAGUCGAUACGGGCAGGCUAGAAUUCGGUAGGGGAGACUGGAAUUCCAGGUGUAGCGGUGAAAUGCGUAGAUAUCUGGAGGAAUACCGGUGGCGAAGGCGGCAUCCUGGACCGGCAUUGACGCUGAUGAGCGAAAAGCUAGGGGAGCAAACGGGG